AGGGUCAAAGCUGGAAUGUAACCUCACUUGAAGAUAGUAUUUUAUCUGCAGUAGAAAUUUUAAGUCCUGAUAUUGCUUGCAAAUCUUAUGUGAAGAUAAGUGAAAUACUUCCUGCUGCUGAAUCUGAAAACAGUCAAGAAUCAGGAAGGUGGACACAAAAUUUUAUAGACUUAUUACAUAGGAUUCAAAGGCAGUGUGAAAGAUUUUUAAUACAUAAUGCUAAUCAUGUGGUACAUUGUAAAAGUUGGGCCUUAUUAACUCCAGAAGUACAAAAACGAAUAAAAGAUGCUGCUGUCAUUGUUUUUGAAUUUGAGAAACCAACAGCACCACCACCUCGUUUGUCUAGUUUACAAAGAG